AUUGAACGCUGGCGGCAGGCUUAACACAUGCAAGUCGAGCGGAGAUGAGGUGCUUGCACCUCAUCUUAGCGGCGGACGGGUGAGUAAUGCUUAGGAAUCUGCCUCUUAGUGGGGGACAACAUUCCGAAAGGAAUGCUAAUACCGCAUACGUCCUACGGGAGAAAGCAGGGGAUCUUCGGACCUUGCGCUAAUAGAUGAGCCUAGGUCGGAUUAGCUAGUUGGUGGGGUAAAGGCCUACCAAGGCGACGAUCUGUAGCGGGUCUGAGAGGAUGAUCCGCCACACUGGGACUGAGACACGGCCCAGACUCCUACGGGAGGCAGCAGUGGGGAAUAUUGGACAAUGGGGGGAACCCUGAUCCAGCCAUGCCGCGUGUGUGAAGAAGGCCUUAUGGUUGUAAAGCACUUUAAGCGAGGAGGAGGCUACUGAGACUAAUACUCUUGGAUAGUGGACGUUACUCGCAGAAUGAGCACCGGCUAACUCUGUGCCAGCCGCCGCAGUAAAAC
rnacentral:rRNA from 1 species